rnacentral:lncRNA from 1 species
GCGGGGGUGUCUAAGGAUUUUUUUAUUCAGUUUUUGGAGAGAAAAAAAUAUUUUGUUUUGUUUUUGACCCUGAGAAAAAAGUUUGUUUCACCUGCAACUGUCACGGUAUCCAUGUACAUGUAAACUUAUUAUUUAACGUUAUGCUUAAAUUGAAAGAAAAAAAAUGUUUUGACUUUGAAAUUAAUAAUGGACAAUAACCACAGAUGCUUAGCCCCAUAAAGCAUAACCUCUAGUGGCAGAUCCAGGUACCCCCCACCCCCCUUCUAAAAAGUUCAGUAUCUGCCACUGAUCUUUUUUUUUAAAUACAGAUAGUCUUUGUUUCUUU